ACUCCUACGGGAGGCAGCAGUGGGGAAUUUUCCGCAACGGGCGCAAGCCUGACGGAGCAAGACCGCGUGAGGGAGGAAGGCUCUUGGGUUGUAAACCUCUUUUAUCAGGGAAGAAGAUCUGACGGUACCAGAUGAAUCAGCAUCGGCUAACUCCGUGCCAGCAGCCGCGGUAAUACGGAGGAUGCAAGCGUUAUCCGGAUUUAUUGGGCGUAAAGCGUCCGCAGGUGGUUUUUCAAGUCUGCUGUUAAAGCGCAGAGCUUAACUCUGUAACGGCGGUGGAAACUGAGAGACUAGAGUAUGGUAGGGGUUGCGGGAAUUCCCAGUGUAGCGGUGAAAUGCGUAGAUAUUGGGAAGAACACCAGCGGCGAAAGCGCGCAACUGGGCCAUUACUGACACUCAUGGACGAAAGCUAGGGGAGCGAAAGGGAUUAGAUACCCCUGUAGUCCUAGCUGUAAACGAUGGGUACUAGGUGUUGACCGUAUCGACCCGGUCAGUGCCGUAGCUAACGCGUUAAGUACCCCGCCUGGGGAGUAUGCACGCAAGUGUGAAACUCAA
rnacentral:rRNA from 1 species